rnacentral:rRNA from 1 species
GACGAACGCUGGCGGCGUGCUUAACACAUGCAAGUCGAACGGAAAGGCCCUGCUGUUGUAGGGUGCUCGAGUGGCGAAAGGGUGAGUAACACGUGAGUAACCUGCCCUUGACUUUGGGAUAACUUCAGGAAACUGGGGCUAAUAACGGAUAGGAGCUCCUGCUGCAUGGUGGGGGUUGGAAAGUUUCGGCGGUUGGGGAUGGACUCGCGGCUUAUCAGCUUGUUGGUGGGGUAGUGGCUUACCAAGGCUUUGACGGGUAGCCGGCCUGAGAGGGUGACCGGCCACAUUGGGACUGAGAUACGGCCCAGACUCCUACGGGAGGCAGCAGUGGGGAAUAUUGCACAAUGGGCGGAAGCCUGAUGCAGCAACGCCGCGUGCGGGAUGACGGCCUUCGGGUUGUAAACCGCUUUCGCCUGUGACGAAGCGUGAGUGACGGUAAUGGGUAAAGAAGCACCGGCUAACUACGUG